rnacentral:rRNA from 1 species
AUUGAACGCUGGCGGCAUGCUUUACACAUGCAAGUCGAACGGCAGCACGGACUUCGGUCUGGUGGCGAGUGGCGAACGGGUGAGUAAUACAUCGGAACGUGCCCAGUCGUGGGGGAUAACGUAGCGAAAGCUACGCUAAUACCGCAUACGAACUAAGGAUGAAAGAGGGGGACAGACAGACCUCCGCCGAUCUCACCGGCCGAUGGCAGAUUAGGUAGUUGGUAGGGUAAAGGCCUACCAAGCCGACGAUCUGUAGCUGGUCUGAGAGGAUGAUCAGCCACACUGGGACUGAGACACGGCCCAGACUCCUACGGGAGGCAGCAGUGGGGAAUUUUGGACAAUGGACGCAAGCCUGAUCCAGCCAUUCCGCGUGCAGGAUGAAGGCCUUCGGGUUGUAAACUGCUUUUGUACAGAACGAAAAGGCUCUGGUUAAUACCCGGGGCUCAUGACGGUACUGUAAGAAUAAGCACCGGCUAACUACGUGCCAGCCGCCGCCGUAA